rnacentral:tRNA from 1 species
GCCGGGGUAGCCUAGCGGACAAGGCGCAGGCCUUGAGAGCCUGUGACCCGAUAAGGGUCGCCUGGGUUCGAAUCCCAGCCCCGGCG